UACGUAGGGUGCAAGCGUUGUCCGGAAUUAUUGGGCGUAAAGAGCUCGUAGGCGGUCUGUCGCGUCGGCUGUGAAAACCCGAGGCUCAACCUCGGGCCUGCAGUCGAUACGGGCAAACUAGAGUACUGCAGGGGAGACUGGAAUUCCUGGUGUAGCGGUGAAAUGCGCAGAUACCAGGAGGAACACCGGUGGCGAAGGCGGGUCUCUGGGCCGAUACUGACGCUGAGGAGCGAAAGCAUGGGGAGCGAACAGG
rnacentral:rRNA from 1 species